UUGUUUGGGAUGAAAACCUUACUCAGCUCACUCAGAGUUUUUUGACGAUGCUGAUAACAUUCCUAUUUCCAACAUUCAUCAAUUACUGAUACUAGCAA
rnacentral:snoRNA from 1 species